UAAACAAAAACAUGAUCCGAAAUCUGAACGUCAAUUUUCAUGAUUAUUUCACGACGAAGAUCCUCACAUCAAUGAAUCAAAUAAUACGGACAUGCCUUUGGUAUUAGCAGUGUGCGUGUUUCGUAUCGUUCAGCCAAUUUUGCAUUGUUUUUUAACUUUGAUGCUUUUGACAAUCACUCGUAAGUUCAAAGUAAAAUCAAAGUUGUCAUAAUAAUGGAAAGUUGUUUUCAGUAUCUAUGUACCAGUGUGUACAUGUACAACUUUCACAUUGAAAUUUUAGGGUGCUUUCACCAUAUGCAACGAUACUUUCAUCUGUGAAUACCCACUUUCUAAGCCCACCAUGAACUACGAAGGUCAAUUAAUAUGUAAGGACACCAAUGAACAGACACUUUCCAAUUAUGGUACAUCAUAUACAUGGGUGGUCAAACUCACUGGAUGGUUUAUCAACACUCCCAUGCUAACGAACAGGCUUGCCCCAGGAAUUUUGCCCUGAAGUAACAUUGCAGUCUAUUGUCUCCUUUCUUUUUACAACCCUGGCAGCCAUGCAGGAUAGAGGCUGAUCACUUGUACUUGACAGCAAAUAAUAAUGUCUUGGACAAGUCAAAGAAUUUCUUCCAGUCUUACAGAGAAAUGACAGUUGAUAAAAGAAUGGUGGACACAAAGUAAAAGUGCUCUUCAACAUUUUGUUGAAGAUUUCAGUCUGAUUUGGAAUUCAUCUUGCAAUAUUUCUGGAUUUGUAUAUUUGGAUAUAAGCGUCAAAUUUUCAACUUAUUGACUAAACAGUUUUGCGUUAAAUAUUGCCAAUGCUAUCUAUUAUUAUUAUUUCCCUCCAAGAUAACAUGUCAAGUCUUUAUUGUACCCCUUAAGCUCUGUUAUACCAGAAAAAUCUUGUAAUGAAAUCAUUUAGUUUUUUUUUUUUGUUUGAUUAAAUCCAUGAAAAUAAAGAUUAUUUUUAAUGGCAUCAAGAGAAUGGAUUUCUUGUUUAACAAAAAGAUAGUAUACAUGUUUUGCUAGGGCUUUGUAAGAAGCAGACCAGAAUUCUUUGCUUGCAAAUUUUGUCAUUCGCCAUUUUUAUUAAUUACGUCAUCUAUUAGAUGAUUUAUCCAUGUUUGAAGCAUUUCAAAAUUCAUAUUUACUUACAGUUGAAAGCAGAAUUCUGUACUGAUAUGACCUUGACCCUCUGAAGAACAAGAGUGUCAA